CAUCGAGCUCACGCUCAAGUCGGAGCAGGAGGAGUACGAGGCAGAGGGCAUCGCGUGGGAGCCCGUCCAGUAUUUCAACAACAAAAUCAUCUGUGAUCUGGUGGAGGAGAAGUUUAAGGGCAUCAUCUCGAUUUUGGAUGAGGAGUGUCUGCGCCCCGGGGAGGCCACAGACCUGACCUUCCUGGAGAAGCUGGAGGAUACUGUCAAGCACCAUCCACACUUCCUGACGUGAGUGGGGCUGCGGGGCUGCUGGGGGCAAGGGCUCACUUGCAGCAGAGCCUGCGGAGUGCAGGAGUCCCUCCGCCAUCACAAAACACCAGCCACAAGGAGGUGACCAGGGACGGUGCUGAGUUAAGGACCCCUCACAUGUGUCCAGAAACUAAGAAGCUUAGCCAGGCAUGCUGACACGCCUGGAGUCCCAUCUAUGCAGAAGGCUGGGGCAA
rnacentral:lncRNA from 10 species